AAAUAAGAUGCAGCAAUCAGCAGUGACUCAUUCCUAUGCAUAUCGGCAAUGGACAACCUGAUGCAUUGGUCUAGUUUUCUCUCACCCCACUAGAAUUCAUUUGAGUGGCUGACUCUCAAGAACCAAUCCUUCCAUCCCACGGUAGGACUGGGCCAAGAACGGAAGGUAUCCUUCCACAGAUCUAGAGAAAAAUUCUCGGCUCUGAAGGGGAUUCUGUUUGUUUCUGCGUUAAUAAGAUCAGUGGGAUCUGGAUUCCCUAACGGACCAAGACAUUGAAGGUGUGGCUGAUCGGUAGGGAUGACAAUUUUAUUGGACAGAUCCUAAUGUUUUUUUGGGCGAAAAGAAAAACAAAGAAAAAAAGUAGAAAGAAUGUUCAGUAAAAUAAAUUGCAGAUGAACAAGGAUGUGGUAAAGGUACGAGAAAUAGGGUCAUGAACUAACCUCAGGAACAGCGAAGUUGAUGGCCAUCUCCUCGCGAGAAGGA
rnacentral:lncRNA from 1 species